rnacentral:piRNA from 1 species
UGACAAGCAAACACAAAGCCAGGAUGUC